GUCAAGUUUGCUGACCGCGGCAUGAGGGUAUGGGCAAGACCUUCAGCAGCCCCUUCCUUCCUCAACUGCGGCUUUCAAUACCCUGGGAAAGUAUACAAGGACUUCAAGCCCGGGAGGCAGCAUCUCAAGAGACCCUGAGAGAACUGCUCCAAGGAGGCAAAGGAGGAGCUGGAUUAUAUAGAAGUUUUGCAACAAAGGGCAGAACCAGAUAUCCCAAGCGGAUGUUGGCAAUGGCGCAGGAGUGGCUGAGAGGAGCUACCGCACAUCCAAGGCCAGGGGUGGCGGCCAAGACGAGCUAUCCCCUGCCUGAGGCCAGGGGCGACAGCUGAGAGGAGCAACCCCAUGUCCAAGGAG
ensembl:lncRNA